GCGGUUGUAGUCAAGCGGUUAAGACACAGGAUUGUGACUCCUGCACGCGUGGGUUCGAAUCCCAUCAGCCGCCCCA
rnacentral:tRNA from 1 species